rnacentral:rRNA from 1 species
UUGACCUCGGAUCAGGAAGAAUACCCG